GUGACCGAUUCAAGUUCUGUCCUCCUGACGUUUGCGUUUGAUACGAUACACCAACUGACAAAGAAAGAUCUUAUUUGCUUCGCCAAACGAUCUCACGAAAAAAUGACUCCAGUCCACAAGCAAGAAAGCGUUCCAGGACGGAGCGUGUGUGUGGAAGCCCUGUCUGUCAGUAGACAUCACUGCCACCACCACCUGCAUAUGAGUCAACACCACACAGGAAACCAGCCGGUCGCCCAGAGCUGGAUGGGUGUAUUCUAACACAAGCUCGGCCUGCCACUUCAUCUUGGGACCCAGUUGAAGCAACUUUUCCUGACAAGCCCGGAGGUUGGACCGGAGGUACUGCCAUGCGUCGCAUGCUACGGCGAGUCGCAACCAAUGAUGUUCUAAAACUGUAUAUCCUGCGGGGCAGAAAGGGAAAGAAGGCCUUCCAGGACCUGACUAUCUGCAGGGUUAUAACAG